rnacentral:rRNA from 1 species
AGAUUGAACGCUGGCGGCAGGCCUAACACAUGCAAGUCGAGCGGUAGAGAGGUGCUUGCAUCUCUUGAGAGCGGCGGACGGGUGAGUAAUGCCUAGGAAUCUGCCUAGUGGUGGGGGAUAACGUUCGGAAACGGACGCUAAUACCGCAUACGUCCUACGGGAGAAAGCGGGGGACCUUCGGGCCUCGCGCCAUUAGAUGAGCCUAGGUCGGAUUAGCUAGUUGGUGAGGUAAUGGCUCACCAAGGCGACGAUCCGUAACUGGUCUGAGAGGAUGGACUC